GCAGAGGUAUCGAAGCCCGGUCAACCGAGAGGGACUCAAGAUCCCUUCUCUCAGGAGUUCGUGGGUUCGAAUCCCACCCUCUGCACCA
rnacentral:tRNA from 1 species